rnacentral:rRNA from 1 species
UACGGGGGGGGCAAGCGUUGUUCGGAAUUACUGGGCGUAAAGGGCUCGUAGGCGGCCAACUAAGUCAUACGUGAAAUCCCUCGGCUUAACCGGGGAACUGCGUCUGAUACUGGAUGGCUUGAGUUCGGGAGAGGGAUGCGGAAUUCCAGGUGUAGCGGUGAAAUGCGUAGACAUCUGGAGGAACACCGGUGGCGAAGGCGGCAUCCUGGACCGAUACUGACGCUGAGGAGCGAAAGCCAGGGGAGCAAACGGG